GAUGAACGCUGGCGGCGUGCCUAAUACAUGCAAGUCGAGCGAACGGACGAGAAGCUUGCUUCUCUGAUGUUAGCGGCGGACGGGUGAGUAACACGUGGAUAACCCACCUAUAAGACUGGGAUAACUUCGGGAAACCGGAGCUAAUACCGGAUAAUAUUUUUGAACCGCAUGGUUCAAAAGUGAAAGACGGUCUUGCUGUCACUUAUAGAUGGAUCCGCGCUGCAUUAGCUAGUUGGUAAGGUAACGGCUUACCAAGGCAACGAUGCAUAGCCGACCUGAGAGGGUGAUCGGCCACACUGGAACUGAGACACGGUCCAGACUCCUACGGGAGGCAGCAGUAGGGAAUCUUCCGCAAUGGGCGAAAGCCUGACGGAGCAACGCCGCGUGAGUGAUGAAGGUCUUCGGAUCGUAAAACUCUGUUAUUAGGGAAGAACAUAUGUGUAAGUAACUGUGCACAUCUUGACGGUACCUAAUCAGAAAGCCACGGCUAACUACGUG
rnacentral:rRNA from 1 species